AAGCGUUCCAUAUUUUUAUAGUAAAAUUGAAACAAUAUAGAGAUGAUUAGCAUGGCCCCUGCACAAGGAUGACACGCUAAAACAAAAACAAAAGCCCCAAAACA